UAACUGUGCAAAGGUAGCAUAAUCAGUAGUUUUUUAAUUGAAGGCUUGUAUGAAGGGUUGGACAAAGAAUAAUCUGUUUUUAUUUUUUUCUUUGAACUUGACUUUUAAGUGAAAAGGCUUAAAUGACUUUAGGGGACGAUAAGACCCUAUAAAUCUUUAUAUUAAAUUUUUUUUUAGUGAUUUAAUUUAGUAAAUAAAAUAAAAAAAUAAAAAUAUUUUGUUGGGGCGACUAAAAUAUAAAAUUUAACUGUUUUAAAAUUUAAACAAAAUUAUUUGGAAGUGUAAUAGAUCCUUUGUGUAGAUUAAAAAAUUAAGUUACUUUAGGGAUAACAGCGUUAUUUUUCUUGAGAGUUCAUAUCGAAAGAAAAGUUUGCGACCUCGAUGUUGAAUUAAAAUUUCUUUGUGGUGUAGAAGCUACAAAAGAGAGUCUGUUCGACUUUUAAAUUUUUACG
rnacentral:rRNA from 1 species